ACACAGGGAAGAGGCCACAGAGGCCACAGAAGAAAGGAAGCUGUCUGAAUGCCAGGAAGAGAAGACCCAUACAAAUACAACCUGACUAAUAUGGGCUUACAGCCAUUCCAGAUUCUCUCUACGAGGCUGGUUUUCAUCUUUCUAUAGUGUUACAAGCAUGAUGUCGCUCUCAAUGACUCCUUUGUAUAAAGAGCACAGAGAAGCAAGUGAGAAGCACAUCAUGUUGCUAAAACAGUUCAAACUAUUUUACUGACAUCAGCUCAGCAUGAAAAAAUGAAGUCUGUGAGACAGACACUGUCCUAGUGGACUACAGGAAAAUACUACAACAGGUGAAUGAAUCAGGAAUUUACAAUAGCCACAAGAUCGAAAUGAAGUCUCUGCUAAGUAGCUCAAGCAGGUGCAUUCAAUGCUGCUUUUUAUAUAAAAUUCAUAUCUUCUCUUUCAUUUGAGGAAAUGCAGCAUAGAGCUGGUUUCCCAGUUACAAAAGGAGACUUAUUUUUCUACAUUUUGAACACUGAGGAUGAGAUUCCACUCCGAUCAUGGUGUGAAUAUAAACCAGGAGGAUGCUGACUAGGUGACCAGGUGAUCAGGUCCCCAAACAAUCCUCAGACCGUCUCUUCUAUCCCUCAGACUGCUACCACAAGCUUCAGUGACCCUGCUUGGUAGAGCACAGCACUCAAUACUGAAAAAAGUCAUCUUGAAGCACGUGUCAUAAGCCUUCGUAAGCAGAAGCAUUUCUUUCCUCACUUACAAGCUUUUGCAUUUCUUUCUGAGCACUGGUUAAACUUCUAGGCACAUCAUAACUUCAAGAUCCCCUCAAAAUGGUAAGGAUUAACAUGAAAGAAAGACAUACACAGGAUACAGUGUGCCAUCUACUUUGAGAAAAACCUACUCUGUGGCUCUUCAGGAGUCAUCCUUACCCUACUAUAUUAUCCAGUGUAAAACACAAAACACGUUCCAACCUUGGGCAUUAAGAUGAAUAUUUAGCAACUGUCUGGAAUAAACUCCAGAGCCAACAGCAGCAGUGGCUCCAACAGCCUCUGUAGCUGACACUAAUUUAUUGAGAUGUAUUGGGAGCUCUUGAGAAUGAAGAAUCUGCUAAUUAUGCCACCACAAACAAGUUCCCAAACUUCGACAAACUUCAGGUAAACAUCUGAUGAAGAACUUUGAUUUAUGAGCUGUCCAGGUGAAACUGAAACAGAUGCUAUCUUUUAAUAAUAACUGACAUAUGAGUUUGUUAAGAAAGCGAAUGGCUGCUUGGUAUAGGAAAAUGAAGAAAGUGUUCAGAGUCAUCUACCUUAUCUUUGUCUUCAACAACAUCUGCUAAGACAUCAUCCGGAUCCAGGAUUCCUCCAUCUGUGUAUUCUAAGUGAUGAAUCUUCACCCAGUAUCCAGGAUCCUGUGGUGGAACAAGUAAAUCUGAUGACUCAAUCUAUUUUUACCAAAGUAAGACACAUUUUAAGGGAGAUAAAUAAUCUCAAUAAAGAUACGGUAUAAUGAUUGUUGUAAUUAUGGUUUCUACUGCUAUGAGAAAAUACCAUAUCCAAAACUAAAGAGAGGAGUUAAAAGUUUAGUUCAUCUUACAACUCUCAGACACAAUUGGUCACUGAAGGAAGUCAAGGCAGGAACUCAGUCUGGAAGUCUGGAAGCCGGACCUGAAGUAGAGACUGGGAAGCAGAGCUGCUUACUGGCUUGCUCCCCAGAGCUUUCUCGGCCAUAGCUUGCUUCUUACCUCACUCAGAACUACCUGCCCCAGAGGAAGGUACCCUCCAUGAGCUGAGCCCUCCUACAGUAAUAAAUAAGCAAUGAAAGUACUGCUGGCUACCCUACAGGCCAAUCUUAUAGAGACAUUUUUCUCCAUCAAAGUCCCUCUUCUCACAUAUAUCUAGAGUUGUGUCAAGUUGGAACACCAAUAAACUUUUAAC
ensembl:antisense Pard3bos1 par-3 family cell polarity regulator beta, opposite strand 1